rnacentral:rRNA from 1 species
AAAGCGUGCGUAGGCGGCUUUUUAAGUCGGAUGUGAAAUCCCCGAGCUUAACUUGGGAAUUGCAUUCGAUACUGGGAAGCUAGAGUAUGGGAGAGGAUGGUAGAAUUCCAGGUGUAGCAGUGAAAUGCGUAGAGAUCUGGAGGAAUACCGAUGGCGAAGGCAGCCAUCUGGCCUAAUACUGACGCUGAGGUACGAAAGCAUGGGGAGCAAACAGGAUUAGAUACCCGAGU